rnacentral:lncRNA from 1 species
CUUUUCUAAAAGCCACAGAUAGGUAUUGCCUCUGGGGCAGCUGGUUUAGUGUUCUCCAGAGUAGGUGCAAGAUCUCUCCAGAGAAUAUCACAGUAAUUGUCCCUUUGCUUUACCAGCGUGACUUUUACAAAUGUCCCUUCACCCCAGGCACUGGGGCUGGCUCCCUCCCCGCCACGAGCCUGGCAGCAGGCACCAUAGCCGCUGGGCCAAAGGACCUGUGUGAAACGAGAUGUCAGCACCAUGACCUCUCCGCAGGCUGAAGAAGUCCUGUUGCAACCAUUUGGCUUCUCCUUGGCUUGGGCUGCUGGCCUGUGAGCAACCUCAUCCAAAAGGCACCCCUCUCCCUUCCUUCUCAUUCAGAUUCAGACUCCGUGCUGCUAAAUUUGGCUUAAAGCUCCCUGUUUCAGAUCAGUCACUGGGAUUCAUUGUUUAAAAUCCCAUGGAAAAAAUACACGUUGGCAAAGACCAGCAUGCUGUCAGCAGUACAGCAUGUGCCCUGCACAAAAUGCAUGGUACCUUCAGGAGCCACACAAGGCACAAGAAAGCUUUUGUGCGUGCAGAGUCAAUAGGUGGGGUUACCUGACUCAGCUGAAGGUUAUUUUCUCAUCACAAAAAGCAAUCAGAAAACAGCACAGCACCAGGGUGGCUGCUAACUUGCGGCUGCCUCUAUAAAAGCAAGGGAACCUGCAAGGGCCUUCCUGACCUUCUUUAGGAAAGUCAAGGGCUCCUUCUCCAGCCUUAUUACAGAGCAACCACACCAAUCUCGCUGACAUUUGUGGAAGUUGGUGAGAAGUUUUGGCAUUCUUCUCUUCACAUUUUCCCCUGCCAGGGGACACGAAGAACUGCAUGUUCCUCUGCUCUUUGAAGACACUAUCUGCUGCUGGCCCCUGGAGUCCUUGCUGGCUCACACUUCUCUUUGGGGAACGCUGCCCAGAGCUGGACACAAAACGCCAGCUGGGGCCUCAGGGGUGCUGAGUAAGGCAGAAAGAUUUCUUCACGCCUCUUAUGUGUUGCUUUUCUGUUUAUAUGUCCCAGAUGUGAUCCUCACAUUUCUUUCAACAGUGCCAGUGUUACUGCUCAUGAAUAACUUGGGGUACACUACUACCCCUCCUUCCUUAUCUGCAGAACUAUUAUCCAGCCCAUCAAGUCCCAUUUUGUAAAUUUGUAAUCAGUUAUUCUUACUUAAAUGUAAACUUUUGCAGUCCUCCUAACUGAAUUAUUUCCCACUUUCUUUUCAACUCACUACACUAACUUUACUCCUGCCCUUCCACAUGCCUGCAGCUACCCUCCCAGCCGUGUUGUUUGUCGUCUCCCACACAAAUUUAAUAUGCACAUCCCUAAUGACAUAAGUGGUGGAACAGAAAGCAGAAAAGAGAAGCAGAUUCAGGAAAGACCAUUUUGGAAGCAACAGCAGAUUUUUGUCCAUUCUGACAAUGUUUUGUUGGUAUUUCCUCAAAUAGAGUUCCUACUGUAAUUAUUAUCUGUGCAUUUAAGAAAAGAGACAUCUACAAACAUGCAAACUCCCGCAGAAAGUCUGGCAUAAAUGAUUUCGCCAGCAUCGCAUUGCAACUCCGUGCUGCAGGCUGGGGCUGGAGGUUGCCUUUUAUCUACCUCCAGGCUGCGACAUUUCUUUGGCCCUGUCUGUGGGGCAGCAGGACGGGGGCAGCUCUCCCCUCCUAACAGGGACAAGGGCAAGGUCCAGCCUCCAAACACCAGGAGCUGAGAAGGGAGGACGCAUGCAUUUGCUGAGGACAGCACCUUGAAAGACUUCAGCUUUUAAGCUCUAGCAUGCCUGUACACGUCUGAAGUCCUUAUUUAAACAAACCUAGGCAGGUUUUUGCAGGAACAGGAAAACAUACAUUCUUGAUACAAAGGUUACCCUUGCUAAUUUUCAAGCCAUUGGUAGGAGGCAGAAUGGGGGAGGAGGACGUGCCAGUAAUGCUUUUGCAAGUAAAUAUAUUUUCUAUCAUUGGCAAAAUCAGAUUUUUUUUUUCCUAGCAUUGUUUGUGGAGAGAACACUGUUUACACUGAGAUUUGCCGCAAGCAGAUCUUAAAUGCAGUGGACCUACUGCUCACAAGGCUGUGGCUGAGCAGGGUUUUCAAAGCCACGACAAAGAGAGGCCAGGGGCUGCAGAGGUCGGGUGCUGCACCAGGCUGCCG